rnacentral:tRNA from 1 species
GGCAGGUUGCCCGAGCGGCCAAAGGGAACGGUCUGUAAAACCGUCGCGAAAGCUUCGUUGGUUCAAAUCCAACACCUGCCA